rnacentral:misc_RNA from 1 species
AUGUGUUGACCACCCAUAUAACUGUGAAUACACAACUAUUGCUCUUUAUCCACCCAUAAUUAAAAGAAAUUGUUAAAAUAUAGAUUAAUUAAGGAUAUCAUCCCAAUUCCCACGAUGGUAUGCUCAUGCAUCUACCAAGUUGAGGAACUUCACAAGUAAGAAACUUUUCCAAGAAUCAUUCGAGGAGUCUCCCAAAAAUCGAGAGGUGCCAGCAGCACCUGUUUAGAUUCUGUAUGGAAGAGAUUCUACUAGUAUGGAAGGAAGAAAAAAAAAAUUGAUUCAAAGAAAAAGUAGAGAUAAACACACCCCCACAAUCUUGA